GGAGAUGUACCCAAGCGGUUUAAGGGGCACGCCUGGAAAGUGUGUAGGUCGUUAAUAGCGGCGCAGGAGUUCAAAUCUCCUCAUCUCCG
rnacentral:tRNA from 1 species